rnacentral:lncRNA from 1 species
AAGCGUGUUCUCUGCGUGCGGUUAAAACCACGUUAAAACUGUUACAAUUCGCGCGCACUCUGAAAUUUGGGUUGGCGGAGCUGGUUGUAAUCGAAGAGCUUGCAUACACUUGGCGGGAAGCGCGCGCCAUGGAAAGCGAAUACGAGAGCUCAUCGCACAUACCAGUAUCCUCAACUCUUGCUGUGGCUGCAUGGCCACACAUGGAACCGAGCAUGCUUGUUAUGUUCAGAUACAUCCUACAGUACAGGACCCGCAUAUCUGACCGGGGCUACAAGGUCACAAACAGACCCACAGUGCUCGAAGAAGCACAUGGCUGUACAAGGGGGAGAUUCGACGAAACUGAAAACAACACGUGCACUGCAGUCCCUCCUCAGCUGGAAUGCUGCAGUGGGCUUCAGUUGGUUUGGCACAAAGGGAAAGAAAAUUCUGUGAACUGCACCUCUGCAAGCUGAUGUGCGGCGUGUUGACUAAUGACAUCCGAAACCCGAAUGCGACCCUGAAGGAUGUGGAGAAGGCCGCGAUGACCUGGUUCCGUCAUGCUGCUGAGCGGCUUGCCGCGCAACAAAAAUAGUUUAUUUCUUUUUUUUUUCAACUAAUAAGAUAAUCCUGAAGGUCAGUUGUUGUUGCAAAUUCUUUGCAUUGCGUCUAUUAAAAUUUGUCGU